GAUGAAGAACGUAGCGAAAUGCGAUAAGUAGUGUGAAUUGCAGAAUUCAGUGAAUCAUCGAAUCUUUGAACGCACAUUGCGCCCCUCGGUAUUCCGUGGGGCAUGCCUGUUCGAGCGUCAUUUAACCCCUCAAGCCUAGCUUGGUAUUGGGUGCUUGUCCCGCCUCUCGCGCGGCGACUCACCUCAAAGUCAUUGGCAGCCCGCAUCUCGCCGGCCGUGAGCGCAGCACAGACGCGCUCUUGGCAACGACGGAUCGGCUCUCCAAAAGCUUAUUUCAACCACUGACCUCGGAUCAGGUAGGGAUACCCGCUGAACUUAAGCAUAUCAAUAAGCGGAAGA
rnacentral:misc_RNA from 1 species